rnacentral:lncRNA from 1 species
CACAAUUUGACUCAAACUCAAACAAAACAUUUUUAUUAUAAAACAAACACUCUACAUGAUAAGGAUAAGGGCCACAGGUAGUUGAAUCCUUUUUACAACUCUACCACUAACGUCUAUAAAUACUUUACCAAAGCUCAUUGCUAAGGUAGGUCUUUACAUAAAAUUUCAUUUUACAUUCUCUCAUAUAAAUUCUGUUUCUGACUUAAGUAUCGAAGGGGCGACGAGGACACACCUCGUUGCCUUUGUUUCUGGUACUGGAAGGCUCUGUUUGUACCCUUUCUUAGUCCUCAAGCUCGGGAGAUCUACCGGGUACGAUUUUGGUAGCAUCAGUCGUGAAUGUAUGACUUGACCUCCAUUCAAUGAAAGAACCAAAAUAAACUUAACCAGCCCAAUAGGCUAGGAGCUAAAAAGAAAUUGUACUCUACUCUUUCGUCAUGCUCAUUAUCGACAACAUGCUUUAUGUGAGAGAUUUUAUUAGCUCACAAUCACUUUCACUUCUCAAAGUCUGUCAACAUAGGUCAAAAGCCAGUUCGGGUAUUAUCCCAUCCCUUCUCAAACUCUCCUCCACGUACACAACUAAGUGCAGCCCCUGAUAUCAAAGAUCUUUGGCAGUAGACAUACAGGCAGGAAGACAUCUAGAACAGCUAAGUUCAUAUGUAUCCACCCUAGCUGAAUUGGAAAGAAGAUCAACUUUUAUGUUUUAGCGUCGGAGAGUUCACCCUAUGAAACAAGCCAUAAACGUAUGCACACAGUGUUCCUGUUCUUGGCUAUACCAAAUUCAAACAUAAUUCUCUCAUGAAGUACUCAUUAAUUGUGAGAAAAACUAUGGGUACAUGCUCCAUACGAAAACAAGCCCUUGUGGGCUCAAGCUCUUUAAUCUAUAUCUACAUACGGCGAUUUUCUCUGCUUGUUUAGGAAAGAGAAGAAAAGAUUUUCUUAGACGAAGAUAUCCAGAAAGGUUUCUGGAUGGGAUGAUAAAAAGUUCGUA